rnacentral:tRNA from 1 species
GCAGGUGUAGUUCAGUGGCAGAAUAUCAGCUUCCCAAGCUGACUAUGCGGGUUCGAUUCCCGUCACCUGCUCCA